AGGUGGACAGGGGUGACUUGACAGUUUGAGGGCAGAUAACACACCAUGUGCCAUUAACCUUCAGGUACUUGGAUAUUGUAUAAACUGUAUCAGAAUGUUAAAGUUGGGAUUUAAAGACAGUUUGUGAGUCAUUUCUCUUUAGCACCUGGCUGUGACUCUUUCAGCCUUGCACCUUUUGCUGACAUCCAGAUAGCCAUGUGUCAUUGUUUGUCAAGAGUUAUAAGAGUUCGCCAUAGAGCUUUGUUACACACAGAAAAUUAUCUUCUCAAAAAGGUUUGCAUGGAUGGCUCAGAUAUGACAAUCUCAAGGGCUGAGUUAAGUGAGAUUUGUGCUUGCUGCUUUUCACAGACAUUUAUGAGACUGUUCAUCCAUACAAGGCGGACUCAAAGGCGCAAGGACUUGUUGGAAAUCGGUGACAGGUGACAAGUUAGAGAGGGUUGUUUAUGAAAAUUUACUGGCCACAAUGACGGAAUCUUGACGUUUUCAGUCAAAGAGAGGAUCAUGACACCGUGCAAUCCAAUACAAAAACAAUUUGCAAUAUUUUUGGGUAAAAAAACUCGAAACAUUCUAUGCCAUCUCUGUCAUUACAAGUUGUGCCUGGAAAUCAAAUAAGUGUUGUGUAUCUCAACUUCCUGAAAGGAAAAUGAGCUUUGCCCAGGAUGUGUAUGGGGUGACGAGGCAGCAGCACGUUCUUACGGCAGGAUCCCUUUUUCUUUUCACAUGGAGCAAGUAAUCUAUCAACCAGUUCUGUCAUAUUUCUUUGAAAAGACUGCAGAAGAAAGGUUACCAUGGCAACUAUAUUUGUAAAUUCACUGCAAAAGAGAUUCAGCAUCUGAACAACCUACAUGCCAAGGCCUCUUGUCUAAGGGGACAAACUUCUUCAGUUUGACAAAAAAAAGAGAAAAAAAAUUGCCUUUCUGCAGCGAUCAUUUUUAUACCACAGCUGAGAUACGGAGAAUGGAGAAAACAUCUUGACAUACAACCUCGUUUACUCAGCACAAGUGGACGUGUGAUUUAGAGAGAAACUGAAAAGGAAAAGAUAUGCGCGUGUAAAAGAUACCUGCUUAUAUCUAAUUAGUGUGCAUUAAGGUCAAGUUUAAUAAAGUCACUGCAUAGAAAAAAAACCCCAGAAAACAUAAUCUGUUUUGUACGAUAGGACUCAUUGACAAAAUGAUAGGACUCAAGUACAAA